AGAGUUUGAUCCUGGCUCAGGAUGAACGCUAGCGAUAGGCUUAACACAUGCAAGUCGAGGGGCAGCGAGAUGUAGCAAUACGUCGUCGGCGACCGGCGAAUGGGUGAGUAACACGUAUGCAACUUACCUCUUAGAGGUGAAUAACCCGAUGAAAGUCGGACUAAUACACCAUAUACUCCUUGGGUCACAUGAAUUGAGGAGGAAAGAUUUAUCGCUAAGAGAUAGGCCUGCGUUCCAUUAGCUCGUUGGUAAGGUAACGGCUUACCAAGGCAACGAUGGAUAGGGGGACUGAGAGGUUGACCCCCCACAUUGACACUGAGAUACGGGUCAAACUCCUACGGGAGGCAGCAGUGAGGAAUAUUGGUCAAUGGGCGAGAGCCUGAACCAGCCAAGUCGCGUGAAGGAAGACUGCCCGCAAGGGUUGUAAACUUCUUUUGUAUGGGAUUAAAGUCGUCUACGUGUAGACGUUUGCAGUUACCAUACGAAUAAGCAUCGGCUAACUCCGUG
rnacentral:rRNA from 1 species